ACGCUGCUGGUGUCGGCGCCGUAGGAAGCGCAGCUUCGGGUCCCCAUUGUUUUGGCGCCAUGAGCCGCGGGGGCGGCGCCUCGCUUCUGGCCAGGGAAUCAGCUUGCGGCCAUUCAUGGUUCGCAGCGGCCUUCGUCGUCGAUGCACGCCCACGACAGUUGGCGCAGCAGCAGCAAGGGGCGACUAAGGGAUUACGCCAUACUGAGAGUGCGAUUCAGAAGAAAUAGUCACACCAUUGUCAUGAAGCAGGAGCUAUCUGUGAGUUUCUAAUGUAUUUCAGGAGUAACUAUUUUCGAGCCAAUGGGAUAAGGAAAUUGCUGUUCCUGUGAUAAUGCCAUGACAACUAGUUUGAGAAGACAGUGACACUUUUUAUGCUCGAUGUUUAGACAGUUUGCCUCCUAGCAAAUUCAGAUUAGGUGUGUAGAUGAUUUUUGCAGAAUCUAGACAUGGCAAAUCGACAAAUUGUAGACUUGGAUGAGGGCACCGGAUUAGUGUAUGUUUUGGGCAUUAUUUUUUUCAGAACCAACCUUUUGAAUUAGUGUUCAUUCAAAUUUUA